rnacentral:rRNA from 1 species
AGUGAACGCUGGCGGUAGGCCUAACACAUGCAAGUCGAACGGCAGCACAGUAAGAGCUUGCUCUUACGGGUGGCGAGUGGCGGACGGGUGAGGAAUACAUCGGCAUCUACUUUUUCGUGGGGGAUAACGUAGGGAAACUUACGCUACUACCGCAUACGACCUACGGGUGAAAGCAGGGGAUCUUCGGACCUUGCGCGAUUGAAUGAGCCGAUGUCGGAUUAGCUAGUUGGCGGGGUAAAGGCCCACCAAGGCGACGAUCCGUAGCUGGUCUGAGAGGAUGAUCAGCCACACUGGAACUGAGACACGGUCCAGACUCCUACGGGAGGCAGCAGUGGGGAAUAUUGGACAAUGGGCGCAAGCCUGAUCCAGCCAUGCCGCGUGGGUGAAGAAGGCCUUCGGGUUGUAAAGCCCUUUUGUUGGGAAAGAAAAGCAGCAGGUUAAUACCCCGCUGUUCUGACGGUACCCAAAGAAUAAGCACCGGCUAACUUCGUG